GUCAUCAGAGAGCACUGAGACACUUUAUGUGUUAUGUAUGUUUUUUUUUUAAGUGGUGCAUAUUUCCCUCAGCGCUGCACUAUUCCCAUCAUAGAACAGACUCUGGUCCAUGUUGGUAGUAGUAGUAGUACAGGGGCUGAGGAACCAAUAGCACUGGGUCUCACCCCUGAGACCUGCUGCCAUCCUAACUUAGAAGCCAGGGAAGCGGGCAGCAUGCUGCAUGGUCACUGGCGUUUAGCAAUCACAAAGUCCCAUCAAAACAAAAUUGGUACCAAUAAAUACUACAGAUCACAGAGCAAAAAAAAAAGACCCUCAUACAUCCCCGUAUACGGAAAAUUAAAAAAAAAAGUUAUGGGGGUCAGAAGGACAAUUUUAAACAUAUUAAUUUUCGAACAAAAAGUUGUAAUAAUUUUAGAAAAGUAGUAAAAUAAAACAAAAACCUAUAUAAGUUGGUUUUAAUCGUAUGGACCUACAGAAUAAAGAUAAAGUGUGAUUUUUACUAAAAAGUGCCCUAUGUAGAAACAGAAGCCCUCAAAAGUUACAAAAUGGUGUGCGUUUUUUUCAGUUUCGCCCCACAAAUAAAAUCCCUGUGUCCUUAAGGGCUUAAACAAAAAUAGAGUAAAAUCCAUCCCAUAAUGUCCAGAUGUAUAAUCUAAGCCCAGAGCAGAUACAGGUUACUGAUGAUCUCCUUAUCGGUGUGUGGCUUGGCCACUGCUGGUGAUGUCACACAUGUGAUCUCAUAGAACCUGUUGGGGCCUAUAGAAAGGGCUGCGGCCCUGCACACAGUGUCAGUCUUUGCUGGCUUGGGCUUUGGGAGUGUUCAUCACUAUGGUUCUGCCAAUUGGGAAAAAGAGAAAGUAUGGUCAUGUGACUCCGAGCAUCCCGAAUAUGGGAGGGAGAAUGGCGCCGGCUUUACCAUCACAGCCGGCACCAGUGGCUUCAACAUCUCAGCCAGCCCCGGUGGCUUCAACAUCUCAGCCGGCCCCGGUGGCUUCAACAUCUCAGCCGGCUAUUCCAUCAAUGCCGGCUGCGGCUCCUACAUCUUACCCGGCUAUACCAUCUGCACCGGAGGACAUGGAGACUGAUGGAAGACAAUACCCAGAUGACGUCGACAUGUAUGAUGUGGAGCCGAAGAGGAGGCGGUUCUCCUACGACCCGGACGGGUCGUGCAUCAUGGAGGACGUCAGCUGCCCCAACUGGUUAUGGAAGUGGAGGAGAUAGGAAGCGAGAUCCAUAACCAACAUCAAUAACAUCUACUACAACAUCAAUAACAUCAACACCAUCUAUUGGGGACUCACUAGAGUUCCCCAAUAACAUCUAUAACAUCUGAGACUCCUAAAGACUCAUCCGAUGAGGAGACCUCGGUGUAGAAGAUACCACAUCUGAUACAGCCCCUUCAAGCCUCCCCGCAGAGAAGACAUCGCCAUGCUCUGACCUCACAACAUUUAAUAUGUUGGGAUAUUUAUAAUAAAACAUAUAUAUGUUUUUACCUUA